rnacentral:tRNA from 1 species
AAAAAGAUAAGCUAAAAAAGCUUUUGGGUUCAUACCCCAUUUAUAAAGGUAAAAUCCUUUUCUUUUUA